rnacentral:rRNA from 1 species
CAGAGGGUGCGAGCGUUGUUCGGAAUUACUGGGCGUAAAGCGCGCGCAGGCGGCUUCUUAAGUCUGCCGGUGAAAUGCCGGGGCUCAACCCCGAGCGUGCCGGAGAUACUGGGAGGCUGGAGACGAGUAGAGGCGAGCGGAAUUCCGGGUGUAGCGGUGGAAUGCGUAGAGAUCCGGAAGAACACCGGAGGCGAAGGCGGCUCGCUGGGCUCGGUCUGACGCUGAGGCGCGAAAGCGUGGGGAGCGAACAGGAUUAGAUACCCUGGUAGUCCACGCCGUAAACGAUGGGCACUAGGCGCUGGGGGGAUCGACCCCUUCGGUGCCGCAGCUAACGCGAUAAGUGCCCCGCCUGGGGAGUACGGCCGCAAGGCUG